rnacentral:rRNA from 1 species
AGAGUUUGAUUAUGGCUCAGAACGAACGCUGGCGGCAGGCCUAACACAUGCAAGUCGAGCGCGCCCUUCGGGGUGAGCGGCGGACGGGUUAGUAACGCGUGGGAACGUACCCUUUGGUAGGGAAUAGCCACUGGAAACGGUGAGUAAUACCCUAUGAGCCCUUCGGGGGAAAGAUUCAUCGCCAAAGGAUCGGCCCGCGUUAGAUUAGGUAGUUGGUGGGGUAAUGGCCUACCAAGCCUACGAUCUAUAGCUGGUUUUAGAGGAUGAUCAGCAACACUGGGACUGAGACACGGCCCAGACUCCUACGGGAGGCAGCAGUGGGGAAUCUUGGACAAUGGGGGCAACCCUGAUCCCAGCCAUGCCGCGUGAGUGAAGAAGGCCUUAGGGUCGUAAAGCUCUUUCGCCUGUGAAGAUAAUGACGGUAGCAGGUAAAGAAACCCCGGCUAACUCCGUGCCAGCCGCAGC